AGCAGCCGCGGUAAUUCCAGCUCCAAUAGCGUAUAUUAAAGUUGUUGCAGUUAAAAAGCUCGUAGUUGAAUUUCGGGAUCAAUACGUCGGUCGUGCUUCGGUACGUACUGGCGUAAUUGAUUUCUCCCUUCUGACGAACCAUGAUGUCAUUAACUUGGUGUCAUGGGAAAUCAGGACUGUUACUUUGAAAAAAUUAGAGUGUUUAAAGCAGGCUAACGCUUGAAUACAUUAGCAUGGAAUAAUGAAAUAGGACGUUCGAUCCUAUUUUGUUGGUUUCUAGGAUUGACGUAAUGAUUAAUAGGGAUAGUUGGGGGCAUUAGUAUUCAAUUGUCAGAGGUGAAAUUCUUGGAUUUAUUGAAGACUAACUACUGCGAAAGCAUUUGCCAAGGAUGUUUUCAUUAAUCAAGAACGAAAGUUAGGGGAUCGAAGACGAUCAGAUACCGUCGUAGUCUUAACCAUAAACUAUGCCGACUAGGGAUCGGAUGAUGUUAAUUUUUUAAUGACUCAUU
rnacentral:rRNA from 1 species